GAUGACUUAGCUCAGCGGUAGGGCAGGUCUUUACCAUGACUAGGACAUGGGUUUGACUCCCAUAGUUGUCA
rnacentral:tRNA from 1 species